CCCCCAAUCGUUUAGUGGUUCAGAACAUCUCUCUUUCAAGGAGGCAGCAGGAAUUCGACUUCCCCUGUGGGU
rnacentral:tRNA from 1 species